rnacentral:tRNA from 2 species
GGAGACGUCGCAUAGCCCGGUCGAGUGCGCCUCACUGCUAAUGAGGUAGGGGUGUUAAAGCCCCUCGGAGGUUCAAAUCCUCUCGUCUCCGCCA